UUUAUGGAGAGUUUGAUCCUGGCUCAGGACGAACGCUGGCGGCGUGCCUAAUACAUGCAAGUCGAGCGGUCCCUUCGGGGAUAGCGGCGGACGGGUGAGUAACACGUAGGCAACCUGCCUUUGAGACUGGGAUAACUAUCGG
rnacentral:rRNA from 1 species